rnacentral:rRNA from 1 species
AGGGUUCCACACGUACCCAUCCCGAACACGACCGUUAAGCCCUCCAGCGCCGAUGGUACUUGGACCGCAGGGUCCUGGGAGAGUAGGACGUCGCCAAGC